rnacentral:lncRNA from 1 species
GCAGGCUGCCAUGCCCGGCUAAUUUUUUUAUUUUUGUAGAAAUGGGGAUUCACCAUGUUGCCCAGGCUGGUCUCGAACUCCUGGGCUCAAGCAAUAUGCCCGCCUCGGCCUUCCAAAAUGUUGGGAUUACAGGCGUGAGCCACCAUGCUGAGCUGAGGAUCACUUGUUUUAACUGCUGGGAAUCUCCCUUCGUUGGGCCUGGCUGUCGGGAAACCUGGGUCACAAGCAUGACCCUUCCCCGUCCCCCCUCACCCCAGAUGAGAACGGGAUUCCCAGUAGUCCCCAGAAAGUAGCUCUGACCCUGGAUCUUGACCUGGAGAAGGAGCCGGAAUCAGAGCCAGAUGAGCCCCAGAAGCCAGGAAAACCUUCAGUCUUCACUGUCUUCCAGAAGAUCUGGCUGACAGCGCUGUGCCUUGUGUUGGUCUUCACAGUCACCCUGUCCGUCUUCCCCGCCAUCACAGCCAUGGUGACCAGCUCCACCAGUCCUGGGAAGUGGAGUGAGUGUCAGGGUGGAGAAGACGGCAGGGCAGGGGGUACAAAGGGGAGAGGACGGGAGAGGGGAGUUGGAGACCAGUAUGAGCUGCAGCCGUUUCCCUCCCAGGUCAGUUCUUCAACCCCAUCUGCUGCUUCCUCCUCUUCAACAUCAUGGACUGGCUGGGACGGAGCCUGACCUCUUACUUCCUGUGGGUAAGCACACCAGGGCUGGGUGAUCCGAUGUUUUAGGAAGCAGUUUGGGAUCCGAGGGCUUGAAAGAGCAUGGAGGUGAUUUUCUGGUAGUCCAAAUGGCCUGGUAAUGCAACCACUGGCCAAGCAGCAGGGAGCACUUGGGCCCUGGAGGCGUGCAGGCCAGGGCUUGCACUGUGAGCUCCCUGAAAGCAAAAAUCAUGUCCAGCUGACCUCUGUGUCCCCAGCAUCCAGCCUUUGCUGCUCAGAGAAUGUUACAUGGAGGUUCCUGCACCAGGUGAGGGACUGAGCAAGAGUCUUAGUUUUGGGGUUGGUUUUAGCCAUGGUACUGUAUCUUUAAAUGAAAUCUUCCAAAGAGACAAUACAUAACGCAGGUGAAAGAGGAGCUGGUCUCAUCCAAGUCAGGACAGGAGCUGAUCUACAGCUUCCAAUCCCACUCAGAAACCCCAUCUGCCCCCAAGGGGGUCUGUGGAACCACCAGUGGGUGCUCUGAGGAACCGAGUACGUAAACUGUAGAUGCGGUGGAGAGCACAAGCUGGAGCCUGGGAGAGGCAGAGGUGAGCCCCAGGCCAGUCCCUGAUUUCUGGGUGGACUUGGCCCAGGCCCCAGUGCUGGGUCCUCCCUCACUGGCUCACAAGGUAGGUCAGGUCAGAGGAGGUCAGGGGGUGACAGAUGGGUCUAUCCUAUGGGUGGGCCAGGCGUGGUGGCUCACACCUAUAAUCCUAGCACUCUGGGGCUGGACGCGGUGGCUCACACCUGUAAUCCCAGCACUCUGGGAGGCCGAGGCGGGUGGAUCACGAGGUCAGGAGUUCGAGACCAGCCUGGCCAACAUGGUGAAACCCCGUCUCUACUAAAAAGAUAACAAUUAGCAGGUGUGGUGGUGCACACCUGUAAUCCCAGGGAGGCAGAGGCUGCAGUGAGCCGAGAUCGCACCACUGCUCUCCAGCCUGGGAGACAGAGCGAGACUCUGUCUCAAAAACAAACAAACAAAAAAACCCCUAAAAUCCGAGCACUUUGGGAGGCCAAGGCAAGAGGAUCGCUUGAGCUCAGGAGUUCAAAACCAGCCUGGGCAACACAGUGAGACUUUGUCUGUACACACACACACACACAAAUUUUUAAUGAAAAAAA